GAAGCUUAGUGGUAAAGAAUCUGCUUUGCAUGCAGGAGGUCACAGGUUCAAUCCUUGGUAUUGCCA